rnacentral:pre_miRNA from 1 species
GCGGCUCUGGCCCUGGCACACAGUGUAUUGGUCUGUGUGUGUGUGUGUCUACAGCUACAUUGUCUGCUGGGUUUCAGAGCCGCUUC